UACGGAAGGCAGCAGUGGGGAAUUUUGGACAAUGGGCGCAAGCCUGAUCCAGCAAUGCCGCGUGAGUGAAGAAGGCCUUCGGGUUGUAAAGCUCUUUUGUCAGGGAAGAAACGGGUGAGGCUAAUAUCCUUGCCUAAUGACGGUACCUGAAGAAUAAGCACCGGCUAACUACGUGCCAGCAGCCGCGGUAAUACGUAGGGUGCAAGCGUUAAUCGGAAUUACUGGGCGUAAAGCGUGCGCAGGCGGUUGUGCAAGACAGAUGUGAAAUCCCCGGGCUUAACCUGGGAAUUGCAUUUUGUGACUGCACGGCUAGAGUGUGUCAGAGGGGGUAGAAUUCCACGUGUAGCAGUGAAAUGCGUAGAUAUGUGGAGGAAUCCGAUGGCGAAGGGCAGCCCCUGGGGAUAACACUGACGCUCAUGCACGAAAGCGUGGGGAGCAAACAAGGGAUUAGAU
rnacentral:rRNA from 1 species